rnacentral:rRNA from 1 species
AACGAACGCUGGCGGCAGGCUUAACACAUGCAAGUCGAACGCAUCCUUCGGGGUGAGUGGCAGACGGGUGAGUAACGCGUGGGAACGUGCCCUUCAGUUCGGGAUAACCCAGGGAAACUUGGGCUAAUACCGGAUACGUGCGAGAGCAGAAAGAUUUAUCGCUGAAGGAUCGGCCCGCGUCUGAUUAUCUAGUUGGUGGGGUAAUGGCCCCCCAAGGCGACGAUCAGUAGCUGGUCUGAGAGGAUUAUCAGCCACAUUGGGACUGAGACACGGCCCAAACUCCUCCGGGAGGCAGCAGUGGGGAAUAUUGGACAAUGGGCGCAAGCCUGAUCCAGCCAUGCCGCGUGAGUGAUGAAGGCCUUAGGGUUGUAAAGCUCUUUCGUCCGGGACGAUAAUGACGGUACCGGAAGAAGAAGCCCCGGCUAACUUCGUGCCAGCCGCCGCCGUAA